rnacentral:tRNA from 1 species
AGAGAAGUGGUUCAGCAGUUAAGAGCACUGGCUACUCUUCCAGAGGGCCUGGGUUCAAUCCCCAGCACUUCCA